rnacentral:piRNA from 1 species
UAAUGUGCUUCCGAUGGAAUCCUGGUU